UUUAAUCGACUCUGCAGUAAUGCAGAGAGCCUGCACAGGUGCUGCAUGGCUGUCGUCAGCUCGUGUCGUGAGAUGUUGGGUUAAGUACCCGCAACGAGCGCAACCCCUACUUGCCAGUUGCUAACAGGAGAGCUGAGCACUCUGGCGAGACUGCCGCCGACAAGGCGGAGGAAGGUGGGGAUGACGUCAAGUCAUCAUGGCCUUUAUGCCCAGGGCUACACACGUGCUACAAUGGCCGGCACAGACGGCAGCUUAGUGGCGACACUUGGCAAUCCUCUAAAGCCGGUCCCAGUUCGGAUUGCAGUCUGCAACUCGACUGCAUGAAGCCGGAAUCGCUAGUAAUCACAGAUCAGCCAAGCUGCGGUGAAUACGUUCCCGGGCCUU
rnacentral:rRNA from 1 species